AGAGGUGCCUCCAGCAGGCUGCCUUCUGGAACGGAGCGACCAGACCGGGAGCGGACAGUCUCAAGCGUCAGCCCCACCCACCUCCCCUCAGUCCAUCUAAACUGCUCUUUUCUCCUGCGUACACCCCUCAUCUCCUACAAGAGUACUGCUACUGGGAACCGAAUCUCUGUCUCCCACAAGCUAAGCAUGAAGUCUCCACCAAGCUCCAACCGGACUGGGAGACGAGACAUUUUACAACAUAGCUGCUGCCAGAAGCCUGUAUCUCCAGGGUCCCAUUGUCUGCACAUCUCCAAAUAAAUGGAAACACAACAAGACAGCUGGUUGCUUUUGCUCAACUUCUAACUUUAAUAACCCUAUGAAAUUUCUGAAGUGGUUUUUAGUUUACCCAAUCCACAACAGAAAAAGUCAUUUGAGACAGUUUAUUAGGACAGAGUUCUUGGGCAAAUCACCAAAUUCGGACAUUUCUUUUGCUCCCUGGGAAAAUUAUAGCUGACACAAACUUGCCUGCAAGAUACGUCCUUCCUGUACAAGCAUAGUAUUUGAUUCCCCGCUGAUCGAACCGGCUUUCCUUUCAAAGUGCUGGUCCAGGGAACAGAGAUUAUUUAAAAAUUAUUGUCAUAAUGUAUUUUUUCCUUUUCUCUCCUUUUUCCUUUCUCUCUUCUCUUUUUCUUUUCUUUCACUGUUUUUUUUUUUUUUGUAAAUAUGAGCAUUUACUCAGUUUCAAAGUUGCUAUACUUGAAGUCACUAAUGUUUAAAAUGAACGUAACUAGCCAGAAAUCUUAUUUUGCCUAAGACAGUGAAACUGUGCCUGCAGCACCAUUUGCGUAUUCCAUCAGAAUUUGUUCGAGUGUCUGGAAGCUGGCCUAUCUGUACUGACAGGAGUUGCUGAGCUACAGGAGAAAACCUUUCUGACCAGCCAGUGAGGCACAGAGCAGUUAUCACAGAAGGCAUCGCUGAAGAAAACAGAGAUAUCUAAGGUGCUGAGUCUGGCCUGAAACUAUGUAGCUAAGGAUGACCUUGAACUCCUGCGCUCUCUACCUGCUGAGAGCUUGGAUUGCAUGUACCAGUAUAUACAGUACUAGAGAUCAAACCCAGGGAGUUGUGCAUCUCCUAGCAACCGAACUACAUUUUCAUUCUAAUUCUUGAUUUCGACAUGCCUUGGAAAGAGAUGGGGAUGUCUGUGCAUCAUCUGCAUGCCUGGGGCCAGGGAGGCCAGAAGAGAGCAUUGGAUUCUCUGGAGUCACAGACUGGUGUGAGUUGCCACGUAGGUGCUGGGAACAGAACCUCGGUCCUCUGAACCUGGGUCCUAGCAGCCAGUGCUCUUAACUGCUGAGCCAUCUCUGUCCAGCACUUUUAUCCCAUCUGCCUUCUUAAGUAAAAACAGAUACUAGGAUAAGAAAAAAAAAAAGCUGUAAUAACAACUCCAGAAGAAGGACCCUACAUAGUGCCUUGCGGAUAAUGCAUUGGAUUGCAUGGAAAAAGAUAAAGAAUUUUCCCGUGGCAUUGGCAGUGGCUAGCAGCUCUAUACAUUCAGUGAAUAGAAUCGUUAGAGCAGUUUAUACAUCUUCACAGGGGUCAGGUGAGAGGUCAGGUGACAAAAUCAGCUGCAUUACUGGAAAACAGUCAUGUUAA